UGGGUACUGUAACUUAUUCGG
rnacentral:piRNA from 1 species